ACUAUUGCUAGACUGGGCGGCUCAUCCUCGCCUGUAACCACAAACGGAUGUCGGUGGAGUUGAAGCCUGAGGGGCGGCGUUGCUUGAGUUAAAAGUCUUGACUGGACCGUCGACGCCUUGUCCUCUAAGAUUGUGAUUUUUAUGAACUGAGUCAGAUCAGGAAUGAAGCAGCUCUAAAUAUUAAUCGCGGUGCCUAGGGGGUUGCAGGGUUGAGGAAAGGUUGAGGUAGCUUUUGAUUUGAGUUUUCGUCCACCUUCAGGCGUGCACUUUU
rnacentral:SRP_RNA from 1 species